rnacentral:rRNA from 1 species
AUUGAACGCUGGCGGCAGGCCUAACACAUGCAAGUCGAGCGAGCGGCGGACGGGUGAGUAAUAUCUGGGAAACUGCUCGUUGGAGGGGGAUAACUAGUGGAAACGGUAGCUAAUACCGCAUACCAUCAUAUGUGGCAAGGUGGGAUUAGUUAGUAGGUGGGGUAACGGCUCACCUAGGCGACGAUCCCGAGCGGGUCUGAGAGGAUGACCAUCCACACUGUAACUGAGACACGGUCCAGACUCCUACGGGAGGCAGCAGUGGGGAAUAUUGGACAAUGGUCGCAAGCCUGAUGCAGCCAUGCCGCGGGUGUGAAGAAGGCCUUCGGGUUGUAAAGCACUUUCAGCGGGGAGGCGUUACCCGCAGAAGAAGCACCGGCUAACUCCGUGCCAGCAGCCGCGGUAAUUC